rnacentral:rRNA from 1 species
UACAUGGGGUGCAAACGUUGCUCGGAAUUAUUGGGCGUAAAGCGCGCGUAGGCGGUUACUUAAGUCGGAUGUGAAAGCCCUCGGCUUAACUGAGGAAGUGCACCCGAAACUGAGUAGCUAGAGUACGAAAGAGGGUCGCGGAAUUCCCGGUGUAGAGGUGAAAUUCGUAGAUAUCGGGAGGAACACCAAUAGCGAAGGCAGCUCGCUGGGACGUCACUGACGCUGAGACGCGAAAGCGUGGGGAGCGAACAGG